rnacentral:rRNA from 1 species
UAGGGAAUCUUCGGCAAUGGACGAAAGUCUGACCGAGCAACGCCGCGUGAGUGAAGAAGGUUUUCGGAUCGUAAAACUCUGUUGUUAGUGAAGAACAAGGACGUUAGUAACUGAACGUCCCCUGACGGUAUCUAACCAGAAAGCCACGGCUAACUACGUGCCAGCAGCCGCGGUAAUACGUAGGUGGCAAGCGUUGUCCGGAUUUAUUGGGCGUAAAGCGAGCGCAGGCGGUUUCUUAAGUCUGAUGUGAAAGCCCCCGGCUCAACCGGGGAGGGUCAUUGGAAACUGGGAGGCUUGAGUGCAGAAGAGGAGAGUGGAAUUCCAUGUGUAGCGGUGAAAUGCGUAGAUAUAUGGAGGAACACCAGUGGCGAAGGCGGCUCUCUGGUCUGUAACUGACGCUGAGGCGCGAAAGCGUGGGGAGCAAACAGG